GGAAAAUGAGGAGUGGUCGAGUCUUGCAUUUAAUAUGUGAGUUGGGCGUUCGCCCCAAGCUUGGUUACGACAAAUGGGCACUCUAAUGCAACCAAUCUGAUCCC